GCGGGCAUAGCAUAGUGGUAGUGCGGUAGCCUUCCAAGCUACUUAGACGGGUUCGAUUCCCGUUGCCCGCU
rnacentral:tRNA from 4 species